rnacentral:tRNA from 7 species
GCGGGUGUCGUAUAACGGUUUAUUAUAUCAGCCUUCCAAGCUGAGGACGGGGGUUCGACUCCCCCUACCCGCU